AUUGAACGCUGGCGGCAGGCCUAACACAUGCAAGUCGAACGAGUGGCGGACGGGUGAGUAAUGUCUGGGAAACUGCCCGAUGGAGGGGGAUAACUACUGGAAACGGUAGCUAAUACCGCAUACCAUCGGAUGUGCCCAGAUGGGAUUAGCUAGUAGGUGGGGUAACGGCUCACCUGGGCGACGAUCCCUAGCGGGUCUGAGAGGAUGACCGGCCACACUGGAACUGGGACACGGUCCAGACUCCUACGGAGGGAAGCAGUGGGGAAUAUUGGACAAUGGGCGCAAGCCUGAUGCAGCCAUGCCGCGUGUAUGAAGAAGGCCUUCGGGUUUAAAAGUACUUUCAGCGGGGAGGCGUUACUCGCAGAAGAAGCACCGGCUAACUCCGUGCCAGCAGCCGCGGUAAUUC
rnacentral:rRNA from 1 species